rnacentral:lncRNA from 1 species
AUGGUCUAUAAUAUAUUUUGAAAUAUGAUAAAGAGAAAUCAUUAUUUCGGAUUCUGAUUUUCGGGUUCGAAUUUAGGUUCGAUUUUGGAUUUUUAGUCGGGUUCGGAUAUGGGUAUGAAUUUUUAAAACCAGCCGGGUUCGGAUUAGGAUCCGAGUCCUGAUUUUAAUUUGAUUUUCGAGUUCAGAUUUGAAUUUUCGAAAAUUCGAUCCAAAUCCGAACUGUUGACAUCCCUAGUUCUACCCAUUAAGUGGAACGAGUUAUUCUCUAUCUUAUUUCUCUACUAAUUAAGUUAUAAAUAAAAAUAUUAUAAAUUAUAAUUAAAUUAAUGCAAUUAAAUUUUUUAAUAAUUGACUAAUUAAUUAUUUAAAUUAUUGAAUUAAUAAAUAUUUAAAUAAUAAUUUAUUUAUAAUUUAUUAUUAUUUAUCUAAUUAAAUAGCUAGCCAUGUGAUAUGCUUAUUCAAUCAUUAACUAAUAUUUACACUAUUUAAAUAAUUAGUAUUUUAAUUUAUAUAAUUAAUAUAUUAACUAAAAAUAUAAAUGAUUAAAUAAUUAAUUAAUAUUCAUAUUGACUUAUUUUUUGUAGUUAUUUACUAAUUAAUGUCAUCUUUGUCAUCUCAUAUAAUAAUUUUAAUUAAUUUAUUUAUUAACUUAUAAAUUAUUUUUUCAAUCAUAAUAGCUCUUAUCCCUACUAUUCCAAUCUAAUCAACUAAACAUAAUUUUUCUUAUUCCUCUAAAUAUCUUGAUUCUUGUCCAAAUACAAAAUUAAAUUAAUUCCAAUCUAUCCAGUUAUACCUAUUCUACAAUUAAAUAAAAAU